ACGAACGCUGGCGGCGUGCUUCACACAUGCAAGUCGAACGGAAAGGCCCUGCUUUUGUGGGGUGCUCGAGUGGCGAACGGGUGAGUAACACGUGAGUAACCUGCCCUUGACUUUGGGAUAACUUCAGGAAACUGGGGCUAAUACCGGAUAGGAGCUCCUGCUGCAUGGUGGGGGUUGGAAAGUUUCGGCGGUUGGGGAUGGACUCGCGGCUUAUCAGCUUGUUGGUGGGGUAGUGGCUUACCAAGGCUUUGACGGGUAGCCGGCCUGAGAGGGUGACCGGCCACAUUGGGACUGAGAUACGGCCCAGACUCCUACGGGAGGCAGCAGUGGGGAAUAUUGCACAAUGGGCGGAAGCCUGAUGCAGCAACGCCGCGUGCUGGAUGACGGCCUUCGGGUUGUAAACCGCUUUCGCCUGUGACGAAGCGUGAGUGACGGUAAUGGGUAAAGAAGCACCGGCUAACUACGUG
rnacentral:rRNA from 1 species